ACCCGCUGAACUUAAGCAUAUCAAUAAGGGUAGGAAAAUAAAAUAACCAUGAUUCUCUUAGUAACUGCGAGUGAAGUGAGAAUAGCCCAACGUUAAAAGCCGUAUUUGUAAAAGAAUACUGCGUUGUAACGUAUAGAUGUGUUCUCAAGAUGAAAACUUAUGUCAAAGUUACAUAGAGUGGUACACCAAAGAGGGUGAAAGUCCCGUGUAUGACAUUAGUACUAAUUUCAUCAAGUAAACACCAUCUAAGAGUCGUGUUGUUUGGGAUUGCAACACAAAGUAGGUGGUAAACUUCACCUAAGGCUAAAUAUAAACACGAGACCGAUAGCAAAGAAGUACCGUGAGGGAAAGUUGAAAAGCACUCUGAAAAGAGAGUGAAAAGUACGUGAAACUGUUUAUGGGGAAGCGUACGGUAGAAUCGAAGCGGACUUCUGAUUGCAUAAGGGCUAGCUUCGGUGAACCCUUGUGUUCCUCAGUUGUCUAGCGCGCUGAGCUUGUCGUAUUUUAUGGGUAAACUGUAGUAAAUACAUGCCGGCAAUAUUAGUUUAGCAAUAAUAAUAGCAUAUCAUUGUUUUUCCGUUACUAGAUAAUAUUGAUCGCUAUAGAUGUAUAAUAUGACAUGGGCUAAUAUGAAAAGCAAUUUAUUGAUGUGGUUGAGUAAUUUGUGUGGUGGUUUAUUGAUCGAUAAACUACUUUACUAUUGAUUGGUUGCACGAUAAAUUUAUUCUCAGCGAGAUAUGCUAUCGUUCGACCCGUCUUGAAACACGGACCGAGGAGGCUAACGUAUGCGCGAGUCAAGGGGAAACUCUAUGAGUUACUUUAUAAAACCCUAUGGCGUAAUGAAAGUAAAAAGCGAUAUCUUCCAAUGAGAUUUUAACGGGGAAGAGCAUCGUUGGCCGGUUGAGUUCAUUGGGGACUAUGAUCGAGCAGGAGCGUAUGCGAUAGGACCCCGAAAGAUGGUGAACUAUGCCUGAGUAGAGCGAAGCCAGAGGAAACUCUGGUGGAGGCUCGAAGCGAUUCUGACGUGCAAUUCGAUCGUCAAACUUGGGUAUAGGGGCGAAAGACUAAUCGAACCAUCUAGUAGCUGGUUCCCUCCGAAAUAUCCCUCAGGAUAGCUGGAGCCUGAGCCAAAAGCAGUUUCAUCGGGUAGAGCGAAUGAUUAGAGGAAUUAGGAUCAUAACUGAUCUUAACCUAUUCUCAAACUGCGAACCGGUGAGAAAACUCAUGUUGCUUAUAAAUGCACUUGUGUAUGUGAACGUGAGAUUGAGAAUGCUAGGGCUCCAAGUGGGCCGUUUCUGGUAAGCAGAACUGGCGAUGCGGGAUGAACCGAGAGCUAAGUUUGGGGUGAAAAGAAUAAAACGCCAAAGGACACCACUAAAGGAGUUAGUCGAUGAAGACAGCAGGACGGUGGCCCUGAAAGUAGGAAUCCGCUAAGGAGUGUCUAACAACUCACCUGCCGAAUCGACUGGCCCUGAAGAUGGAUGGCGCUUAAGCGUUUUACCGAUACUUGGCCAUCAGCAUUAGUGUGUGUGAUAUAUGCUGAUGGGUAGGAGGGUGCAGUGAUAGCGGAGAAGUAUAUAGCGUAAGCUUGUAUGGAGCUGUCACUGGUACGGAUCUUGGUGGUAGUAGCAGUAUAUUCAAGUUAAACGCUUGAAGGCCGAAGUGGAGAAGAAGGGUUCCGCGUGAACAGCAUUGAACGCGGGUGAGUCGGUCCUAAGUGGCAGCUUACGUGCUGUGAUAUUCAAAGGGGAAGUGUAAUAUAAUUGCUACUCAUUCCUUAACCGGUUUUGAACUAGCCUUGUAUUGCUCUCUCAAGCCACGAAAGGGAACAGGUUAAUAUUCCUGAACUGGGCUACGGAUAGUUUGUGUUAUGUAUUUCUUCAUGAAGCGUAGUUUACUCUGUACCAGUGUUUUAAGUAUGUAGCAUAAAAUGCAGCGGUAACGCAAAACAAACUCAGAGACAUCUUUAGGCAGUCCCAGGAAAGAGUUAUCUUUUCUGUUUAAACAAAAACGACACCCUGGGAAUUGAGUUAUUCAGAGAUAGGGGUAGAGGGUUUUGGAAGAGCAUCGCACUUUUAGCGAUGUCUGGUGUGCUGUCUAAGGUCCUUGAAAAUCUGAGGGCGUGAAUAAUUUACGUGCCCAGCCGUACCGUAAUCCGCAACAGGUCUCCAAGGUGAACAGCCUCUGGCACUAGAAUAAUGUGGGUAAGGGAAGUCGGCAAAAUAGAUUCGUAACUUCGGGAUAAGGAUUGGCUCUAAGGGUUGGGCUGGUUGGGCUAUCUCGUUUAGCUUUAACGUGUCUAUUAUUGAGUUUGAUUUCUGCGAAGGGUGUCUUGUAUGCCAUGAACAAUUUUUGAGUUUGAUUUUGGAUGUGUUAGGCUAAGUGACUAGCUUGAUGCUGUGUAGUAUGCUACUCACGUAGUGUAUUGCAUUGUGUCCUUGCGACUAGCUAAGAUCAACCAACUUAGAACUGUCACUAACAAGGGGAAUCCGACUGUUUA
rnacentral:rRNA from 1 species